GUUUGAUCCUGGCUCAGGAUGAACGCUGGCGGCAGGCCUAAUACAUGCAAGUCGAACGGGAUCUUGAGUAGCAAUACUUGAGUGAGAGUGGCGCACGGGUGCGUAACACGUAUGCAACCUACCUUUAACUGGUACAUAACAUUUCGAAAGGGGUGCUAAUAUACCAUGUGAUUAUUGAGAGGCAUCUUUUGAUAAUUAAAGAUUAAUUGGUUAAAGCUGGGCAUGCGUCCCAUUAGCUAGUUGGUGAGGUAACGGCUCCCCAAGGCGACGAUGGGUAGGGGUUCUGAGAGGAUGAUCCCCCACACUGGUACUGAGACACGGACCAGACUCCUACGGGAGGCAGCAGUAAGGAAUAUUGGUCAAUGGGCGGAAGCCUGAACCAGCCAUGCCGCGUGCAGGAAGACGGCCCUAUGGGUUGUAAACUGCUUUUGUCAGGGGAUAAACCUAUCUACGCGUAGAUAGCUGAAGGUACCUGAAGAAUAAGGAUCGGCUAACUCCGUGCCAGCAGCCGCGGUAAUACGGAGGAUCCGAGCGUUAUCCGGAUUUAUUGGGUUUAAAGGGUGCGCAGGCGGACUGGUAAGUCAGGGGUGAAAAUCUACGGCUCAACUGUAGACGUGCCUUUGAUACUGCCGGACUAGAGUUAAGAUGGAGUGGGCGGAAUGUGUUGUGUAGCGGUGAAAUGCUUAGAUAUAACACAGAACACCGAUCGCGAAGGCAGCUCACUAAACUUUGACUGACGCUCAUGCACGAAAGCGUGGGGAUCAAACAGGAUUAGAUACCCUGGUAGUCCACGCUGUAAACGAUGAUCACUCGCUGUUGGCGAUAUACCGUCAGUGGCUAAGCGAAAGUGAUAAGUGAUCCACCUGGGGAGUACGACCGCAAGGUUGAAACUCAAAGGAAUUGACGGGGGCCCGCACAAGCGGAGGAGCAUGUGGUUUAAUUCGAUGAUACGCGAGGAACCUUACCAGGGCUCGAACGUACAGCGACUUGUCGAGAAAUCGGCAAUCCCUUCGGGGCGAUGUACGAGGUGCUGCAUGGUUGUCGUCAGCUCGUGCCGUGAGGUGUCAGGUUAAGUCCUAUAACGAGCG
rnacentral:rRNA from 1 species